rnacentral:rRNA from 1 species
UACGAAGGGGGCGAGCGUUGUUCGGAUUUACUGGGCGUAAAGGGCGCGUAGGCGGCCUUGUCAGUCAGGCGUGAAAGCCCCGGGCUCAACCUGGGAACGGCGCUUGGGACGGCGAGGCUGGAGUUCGGGAGAGGUGAGUGGAAUUCCCAGUGUAGAGGUGAAAUUCGUAGAUAUUGGGAAGAACACCGGUGGCGAAGGCGGCUCUCUGGACCGACACUGACGCUGAGGCGCGAAAGCCAGGGGAGCGAACGGG